AUUGAACGCUGGCGGCAGGCCUAACACAUGCAAGUCGAACGAGUGGCGGACGGGUGAGUAAUGUCUGGGAAACUGCCCGAUGGAGGGGGAUAACUACUGGAAACGGUAGCUAAUACCGCAUACCAUCGGAUGUGCCCAGAUGGGAUUAGCUAGUAGGUGGGGUAACGGCUCACCUAGGCGACGAUCCCUAGCUGGUCUGAGAGGAUGACCGCCCAAAUGGAAACUGAGACAGGGCCCAGACUCCUCGGGGAGGCAGCAGUGGGGAAUAUUGCACAAUGGGCGAAAGCCUAAUGCAGCCAUGCCGCGUGUAUGAAGAAGGCCUUCGGGUUGUAAAGUACUUUCAGCGAGGAGGCGUUACUCGCAGAAGAAGCACCGGCUAACACCGUGCCAGCAGCCGCGGUAAUA
rnacentral:rRNA from 1 species